AGGGGCAUAGUUCAAUUGGUAGAGCACCGGUCUCCAAAACCGGUUGUUGGGAGUUCAAAUCUCUCUGCCCCUGCCA
rnacentral:tRNA from 1 species